GUUUCAAGUUUCAUCAAGAUUUUGGUUGUAGCUAUUGGAGUCAUCCUUUGUGUGUUUGCAGCACUUCUCUUUGGACUUUGCUGCAUAAGAAGGAUGAAGAAGCAGACAACACCUAAUCAAGUGAACACUCACUCGACUCCUCCCGAUGGUCCGUACAUAUCUCUGGAUCCUCGAUUCAUCUCUUGUGAUUAUUCCAAUCUAACAACUCCAAGAAAUCAACAAUGACAUCGUCACCAUGGAUACCUGGAGAAUGAGAGAGAG